rnacentral:rRNA from 1 species
UAGGGAAUCUUCCACAAUGGACGCAAGUCUGAUGGAGCAACGGCCGCGUGAGUGAAGAAGGUUUUCGGACCGUAAAGCUCUGUUGUUGGUGAAGAAGGAUAGAGGUAGUAACUGGCCUUUAUUUGACGGUAAUCAACCAGAAAGUCACGGCUAACUACGUGCCAGCAGCCGCGGUAAUACGUAGGUGGCAAGCGUUGUCCGGAUUUAUUGGGCGUAAAGCGAGCGCAGGCGGAAGAAUAAGUCUGAUGUGAAAGCCCUCGGCUUAACCGAGGAAUUGCAUCGGAAACUGUUUUUCUUGAGUGCAGAAGAGGAGAGUAGAACUCCAUGUGUAGCGGUGGAAUGCGUAGAUAUAUGGAAGAAUACCAGUGGCGAAGGCGGCUCUCUGGUCUGCAACUGACGCUGAGGCUCGAAAGCAUGGGUAGCGAACAGGAUUAGAUACCCUGGUAGUCCAUGCCGUAAACGAUGAGUGCUAAGUGUUGGGAGGCUUCCGCCUCUCAGUGCUGCAGCUAACGCAUUAAGCACUCCGCCUGGGGGAGUACGACCGCAAGG